AUGAACCAGAGCGCCGUGGGCUCCCUGGUGCCGCGGCAGGCGCCGGGCAGCUACGGCCUGCCGUUCGUCUCGGCCAUCCGCGACCGCCUCGACUUCUACUACUUCCAGGGAGAGGCCAAGUACUUCGAGUCCCGCGUCGAGAAGCACGGCUCCACCGUCCUCCGCAUCAACGUCCCGCCGGGCCCCUUCAUGGCGCGCGACCCCCGCGUGGUCGCCGUGCUCGACGCCAAGAGCUUCCCCGUGCUCUUCGACGUCGACAAGGUCGAGAAGAAGAACCUCUUCACAGGCACCUACAUGCCCUCGACCUCCCUCACCGGCGGCUUCCGCGUCUGCUCCUACCUCGACCCCUCCGAGCCCACCCACGCCAAGGUCAAGCAGCUGCUCUUCUCCCUCCUCGCCUCGCGCAAGGACGCCGUCAUCCCGGCCUUCCGCUCCCACUUCUCCUCGCUCCUCGCCACCGUCGAGUCGCAGCUCGUUCUCGCCGGCAAGUCCAACUUCAACACGCUCAACGACUUCACCUCCUUCGAGUUCAUCGCCGACGCCUACUUCGGUGUGCUCCCCUCCGCCUCUGACCUCGGCACCACCGGCCCCACCAAGGCCGCCAAGUGGCUCAUAUUCCAGCUCCACCCGCUCGUCACGUUCGGCCUCCCUUUGAUCCUCGAGGAGCCGCUCCUCCACACCGUGCUUCUCCCGCCCAUCUUCGUCAGCGGUGACUACAAGGCGCUCUACAAGUACUUCUACGCCGCCGCGACCAAGGCGCUCGACAUGGCCGAGAGCCUCGGGCUGAACCGGGACGAGGCAUGCCACAACCUGCUGUUCGCCACCGUGUUCAACAGCUACGGCGGCCUCAAGGUGAUGCUCCCGGGGAUCCUCGGGCGCAUCGCUGAGGCCGGAGAGAAGUUCCACCAGAGGCUGGCCGCGGAGGUACGCACCGCCGUUGCGGAAGCCGGCGGCAAGGUGACGAUAGAGGCGCUGGAGAAGAUGGAGCUGACCAAGUCGGCGGUGUGGGAGGCGCUGCGUCUGGAGCCGCCCGUCAAGUUCCAGUACGGCCGCGCCAAGGCCGACAUGAACAUCGAGAGCCACGACGCGGUGUUCGCCGUGAAGAAGGGAGAGAUGCUGUUCGGGUACCAGCCAUGCGCCACCAAGGACCCCCGGGUGUUCGGCUCCACGGCGAGGGAGUUCGUCGGCGACCGGUUUGUCGGGGAGGGAAGCAAGCUGCUGCAGUACGUGUACUGGUCCAACGGGAGGGAGACCGAGAGCCCCAGCGUGGACAACAAGCAGUGCCCCGGCAAGAACCUGGUCGUGCUCGUCGGCAGGCUCCUGGUCGCCGAGAUGUUCCUCCGGUACGACACCUUUACCGCCGACGUCGGCGUCGACCUGCUCGGCCCCAAGGUUGAAUUCACCGGUGUCACCAAGGCCACGUCCGGUCCUGGGGCUGUUUAG
rnacentral:rRNA from 1 species